AUCACUUCUCAGCCUUUUGGCCAAGAUCAAGUGUAGUAUCUCUGUACCUUUUUGCAAAACUUUUCUGGCUGUAAUUCUUCAACUAAGCUAAGUUUUGAAGUAAGUCUGAAUAAAUUCAGACACUGAAUAAAUUCAGUGCCAGUAACAAUUUGGUUCCCAAACUG
rnacentral:snRNA from 1 species